AUUAGGGGCGUUUUUAUUAUUGGAUGCCACUAACGCUACCUUGAUUGUAGAUUAAUACCUUUCCUUCUAGUAAUGUGUUUCUAGAAUGCGCUAACCUUUUCUACAAUGCUAAUUACGAAAAUGAAACAAAAUGCUGCCAAUUUAUUAUUUUGGAUAUAUUUUGAAAAAUCAUGAUUUUUAGGAUUCAAUCUAAUUUAAACGUUGCUGCAUAAAGCAUGGCUAGUAAAGUACAAGAACGUUAAUUUGUCUUUCAUAAGGAUAAGGAAUCGUAGACAUCUUCGGAUCAUUCUUGCAUUUUUUUAUCCUCAGUUUCUUCAGAUGAUUUUUGAGCAGCAACUUCUUGACGUGCUCGUUCCUCCGCCAUUGAAAGUUCCAAGGCUAACGCCAAUUCAACGUCAAGAUUAGGAUCGACUCCAUACUCAAAUUGGUUUUGAGAAGCAACUACACCUUGUCCAAUAGGGGAUUGAUUUACCAAAUCUGAAAGUAACUGCGGGCUAGGUGGAAUGCUGACAAGAUGACUAAAAUUGUUAAUACUAGUAAAAAAAAGAAGCCAAAAAUGUCCGAAAAAUCCGUAGACUUACCAACUGUCACUUGAAUUAGCAGCGUCAAUGAAAUGCUGCAAAGCUGAUUCAUUCUGAAGCUCACCAAUGUGAAUGAUAUCAAUAGCAACAUUAUUCUUUUUCAUACGCUUGGCUAGACGAAUAAGAUUUUUCUCGUCCUCAACAAUAGGAGAACCUACAAAUGCAACAAUUCUUUGACGUUGAAUUUUGUUUUCUCUAUGCUUUAAGGCUAACUGCGCAAUCUGUAUACCAUCGCCAAACUUUGCGUUUCCUCGGACAGGCAGGUCGUGCAUUGCAGAUAAGAAUUUACCAUAAUCUCUGGUUAAUGUAGAAAGAACUUGGGGACUAAUAUGAUUAGAAUUUCUGU